UGGAGGCAUAGCUCAGAGGUAGAACACUUGCCUCACAUGCAUGAGACCCUGGGUUCAAUCCCCAGCAUCAAA
rnacentral:tRNA from 1 species